UACGGAGGGUGCAGGCGUUAUCCGGAUCACUGGGUUUAAAGGGUGCGUAGGUGGGUUGGUAAGUCAGUGGUGAAAUCUCCGAGCUUAACUUGGAACUGCCGUUGAUACUAUCAAUCUUGAAUAUCGCGUAGGUAAGCGGAAUAUGUCAUGUAGCGGUGAAAUGCUUAGAUAUGACAUAGAACACCAAUUGCGAAGGCAGCUUACUUCACGAUCAUUGACACUGAGGCACGAAAGCGUGGGGAGCAAACAGG
rnacentral:rRNA from 1 species